AGGGUGGCUGUGCCUCUCCAGCAACCCUCUUCAGUAGAGUGGCUGCUCCCUCAGCCGCCCAACAGAAAAUCAGAAGGUUUCUGUCCUGCCACUUUGAGAAAACUGUGGUGGGUUCGUUCCCCUUCUCAUAAAU